rnacentral:rRNA from 1 species
CCUACGGGAGGCAGCAGUGAGGAAUAUUGGUCAAUGGGCGCGAGCCUGAACCAGCCAAGUAGCGUGAAGGAUGACUGCCCUACGUGUUGUAAACUUCUUUUAUAAAGGAAUAAAGUGAGGCACGUGUCCCUUUUUGUGUGUACUUUAUGAAUAAGGAUCGGCUAACUCCGUGCCAGCAGCCGCGGUAAUACGGAGGAUCCGAGCGUUAUCCGGAUUUAUUGGGUUUAAAGGGAGCGGAGGGGGGUUGUUAAGUCAGUUGUGAAAGUUUGCGGCUUAACCGUAAAAUUGCAAUUGAUACUGGCAGGCUUGAGUAGAGUUGAGGUAGGCGGAAUUCGUGGUGUAGCGGUGAAAUGCUUAGAUAUCACGAAGAACUCCGAUUGCGAAGGCAGCUUACUAAACUGCCACUGACAUUGAUGCUCGAAAGUGUGGGUAUCAAACAGGAUUAGAUACCCGGGUAGUC